rnacentral:misc_RNA from 1 species
UUUCCGUAGGUGAACCUGCGGAAGGAUCAUUAUCAUAUAACCCAGGAACGAGGCCUCACGCUAACCCUAAAGGUCGAGCACAACCGAUUGCCCCCACACACAUAUAUCUCACCCCUAUCUUCAGCACAGCGGGGGUUUCCCUUUGUUUUUUUCGGUUGUGUGCUUACGUGGUCAAAGAAAGUUUGUAUGAAGAGUUGAAUGUUUUUUUUUUUUUACUAAGACACAAUCAUUAAAACUUGCAACAACGGAUCUCUUAGCUCUCGCAACGGUGAAGAACGG